CUCUCAACCCUGUGACAUACCUAUAACGUUGCCUCGGCGGGAACAGACGGCCCCGUAACACGGGCCGCCCCCGCCAGAGGACCCCCUAACUCUGUUUCUAUAAUGUUUCUUCUGAGUAAACAAGCAAAUAAAUUAAAACUUUCAACAACGGAUCUCUUGGCUCUGGCAUCGAUGAAGAACGCAGCGAAAUGCGAUAAGUAAUGUGAAUUGCAGAAUUCAGUGAAUCAUCGAAUCUUUGAACGCACAUUGCGCCCGCCAGUAUUCUGGCGGGCAUGCCUGUUCGAGCGUCAUUACAACCCUCAGGCCCCCGGGCCUGGCGUUGGGGAUCGGCGGAAGCCCCCUGCGGGCACAACGCCGUCCCCCAAAUACAGUGGCGGUCCCGCCGCAGCUUCCAUUGCGUAGUAGCUAACACCUCGCAACUGGAGAGCGGCGCGGCCACGCCGUAAAACACCCAACUUCUGAAUGUUGACCUCGAAUCAGGUAGGAAUACCCGCUGAACUUAAGCAUAUCAAUAAGCGGAGGAA
rnacentral:rRNA from 1 species